rnacentral:rRNA from 1 species
GAUGAACGCUAGUGGGAGGCCUAAUACAUGCAAGUCGAGCGGUAGAGUGACUUCGGUUGCUUGAGAGCGGCGCACGGGUGAGUAACGCGUACAUGACCUACCUUUAAGACUGGGAUAGCCCUGGGAAACUGGGAUUAAUACCGGAUGUGAUAAUACGUAUAGAGAUGUAUUAUUAAAGUUGAGGCGCUUAGAGAUGGAUGUGCGUCUGAUUAGCUAGUUGGUAGGGUAACGGCCUACCAAGGCGACGAUCAGUAGGGGCGUGAGAGCGUGGCCCCCCACACGGGUACUGAGACACGGACCCGACUCCUACGGAGGCAGCAGUAAGGAAUAUUGGUCAAAUGGACGGAAGUCUGAACCAGCCAUCCCGCGUGCAGGAUGACUGCCCUAUGGGUUGUAAACUGCUUUUAGCAGAG